rnacentral:rRNA from 1 species
CAGCCGCCGCGGUAAUACGGAGGAUCCGAGCGUUAUCCGGAAUUAUUGGGUUUAAAGGGUGCGUAGGCGGAUAGAUAAGUCAGUGGUGAAAGACGGUGGCUCAACCAUCGCAGUGCCGUUGAUACUGUUUAUCUUGAAUAUGGAUGAGGUAGGCGGAAUGUGGCAAGUAGCGGUGAAAUGCAUAGAUAUGCCACAGAACACCGAUUGCGAAGGCAGCUUACCAAGGCAAAAUUGACGCUGAGGCACGAAAGCGUGGGGAUCGAACAGGAUUAGAUACCCCCGUAGUCCCUGUCUCUUAUAC